rnacentral:rRNA from 1 species
UAAUACGGAGGGUGCGAGCGUUAAUCGGAAUUACUGGGCGUAAAGGGUGCGUAGGUGGUUGUAUAAGUUAUCUGUGAAAUCCCUGGGCUUAACCUAGGAAGGUCAGAUAAGACUGUAUGACUCGAGUAUGGGAGAGGGUAGUGGAAUUUCCGGUGUAGCGGUGAAAUGCGUAGAGAUCGGAAGGAACACCAGUGGCGAAGGCGGCUACCUGGCCUAAUACUGACACUGAGGCACGAAAGCGUGGGGAGCAAACAGGAUUAGAUACCCUGGUAGUCCACGCUGUAAACGAUGUCAACUAGCUGUUGGUCUUAUGAAUAAGAUAAGUGGCGCAGCAAACGCGAUAAGUUGACCGCCUGGGGAGUACGGUCGCAAGAUUA